rnacentral:tRNA from 1 species
CAGGGAGACAAUAAAUUGAUUGUGAUGUCUAAGUUAUUUAUUCUUAGGCCGCAAUCCUGUCACCUUAAGGUCGAUCGGUACCUCAGAUUUUUGAAUUAGUUUUAUAAUUGAUUCUUUGAUUUCAGUUCCUAAACUUGUCUAGGUCACACCCAACAAAGGUUUCUCCUGGGCCAUUAGCUCAGGUGGUUAGAGCGCACCCCUGAUAAGGGUGAGGUCCCUGGUUCAAGUCCAGGAUGGCCCAUUCGUUGUUGGGGGUAUAGCUCAGUUGGUAGAGCGCCUGCUUUGCAAGCAGGAUGUCAGCGGUUCGAGUCCGCUUACCUCCACUGAAAACUAUCCUGAUAACUAAAUUCUGGAGAAAAAAAUUGUAGAUGUGGCUUAGAAUUGUCUAUUUGAAGAGAACCUAGCUUCUUGUCAUCUUUUUAUAGUUGAUAAAAUGCUGGGCUCGCAUGGAUUAUUUCCAUGAGAAUUCAGUAGAACCUUGAAAACUGCAUAGAUUAGAAAGAAUAAAGCAUCUCAUGGAUGCAUAAUUCUGUUUUUGUAAUUUAGCCUUAAAACUAAAUUAUAAAAUUUUAGAAUUCAUGUUUAAUUCUUGAGUAAAAGCCGAGCACAAUUGAUUUUGUGAUUGUAUUUAA